UACGUAGGGUGCAAGCGUUGUCCGGAAUUAUUGGGCGUAAAGAGCUCGUAGGCGGCUUGUCGCGUCGGCUGUGAAAACCCGGGGCUCAACUUCGGGCUUGCGGUCGAUACGGGCGGGCUAGAGUUCGGUAGGGGAGACUGGAAUUCCUGGUGUAGCGGUGAAAUGCGCAGAUAUCAGGAGGAACACCGGUGGCGAAGGCGGGUCUCUGGGCCGAUACUGACGCUGAGGAGCGAAAGCGUGGGGAGCGAACAGG
rnacentral:rRNA from 1 species